GGGAACCUCCGCUCCAAUGGGAAGACUAGCGACGCGGCAGGCAUCUAGUAAAGGAGGCAUUGAUAUGGCAUAUGGCAGGCUCGGAGUGCACGAAGCGGUGGGUCGCUUAUUUUUCGGGCUUUUGCUUCUCGGACCGCCACACCGGCCAGCCAGUGCUACAGUGUCCUAAUGCAGAGAACGUAUAUUACACGGAACUGCGCUCCUUCAGAGUUAUUUAGAGUCUUUGUCAGAAGCACGUAACAGUAACAUUACUUGGUUACGGUGCUGCUACAUGGCAGAAUAUUUGAAUGGCAGAUGUCCCGAGUGCGGCAUCUCCAGCUUCUUGAGACGGGCAUGUGGUAGUGCCACGAGUGGGAGGACGUACCGCAGGCGUGAGGUGGCUACUGCAUGGUACAGCCGCAGAGCCCACCUAGUGGUGCAGCUCUGUCCUCGGGCAACAAGCUGGGAGACUGCCUUGUGGACCCGGAGGACCUGGACAUGCAGGGUCUUGACAGCAGGCAGCCAGGUCAGCCGGUGAUGAACGUGUAGCCCCGGGUACGUCACUGCCGGGCUUCAAGGUCGCCUUCCACUUGCAGCUGUGCAGCGGGCGGUUGCUCUUGGGUGGAGCAGCAUGGCCUCCGUCUUCCUUGCCGAGAUGGCAAGGCCAAUGCUGCUCAGGGGUCAGUCUGCAGGACAGCAGGCAGUCGGGCCAGGUUGAACAGGAAAGGGCUCACCACUGAUCCUUGUGGGACGCCCUCUACCAAAUAGGUCCAGGGCCUGCUGAACGACUGCAUAGGGCAGGCCGUCAAAGGCCCCCUUCAUGCCGAUAAGCACCAGGAGCACGGCGUCACCGCAGGCCUUGGCCUCUUCCAGCGUGGAGACCACGUCCACGAUGGAGUCCGCACUGCAUCAGCUCCGCCGGAAGCCUAUCUGCUCAUCGGCCAGAAAGCAAUGGCCUCCAUCAGCUUGCAAGCAGCAGAGGAAGCCAUCAUCUGGUGCUGUGUACAGCAAGCACAUGCUUCGGGCAAGGAGGGAGCCAGCACCAUAUCUACAUCAGCAAGAACCUCGGUGCUCAAAAUAAACAUUUUCUGUGCAAA